GACGAACGCUGGCGGCGUGCCUAACACAUGCAAGUCGAACGGUGAAGCGCGUUCCAUUUUGGCGGGUGUGGGUGAGGGGCGAAAGGGUGAGUAAAACGUGAGAAACAUGCCCCCAAAUGCGGGAUAAUAGCAUGAAAGUGCGGCUAAUAAGGGAUAUACCGGGUUUGUCGCAUGAUGGGUCGGGGAAAGAAGUUGUUACGGUGGAGGAUGGGCUAGGGGACUAUCAGCUUGUUGGUGGGGUGAUGGACUACCAAGGCGGUGACGGGUAGCCGGCCUGAGAGGGUGGACGGUCACACGGGGGCUGAGACACGACCCAGACUCCUACUGGAGGCAGCAGUGGGGACUAUUGCACAAUGUGCGCAAGCCUGAUGCAGCGACGCCGCGUGAGGGAUGGAUGCCUUCGGGUUGUGAACCUCUUUCGCCAGUGAAGCAGGCCUGCCUCGUUUGUGGGUGGGUUGACGGUAGCUGGAUAAGAAGCGCCGGCUAACUACGUG
rnacentral:rRNA from 1 species